rnacentral:other from 1 species
UUUACCCUGCCACUGCUCGUGAUUAGAAACUAAGUCCUUGAACCGUAGUCUGACCUAGACACGGAAUCCGGAUGCCGCACGGUUGCCGACAGGCCUUGACUGGAAGUCGAAAACCACGGCUAUGGUUCCACCUGUUUCUUACAAGUUCAAAGGAACUGUUACACACGGCAUUGUGGCGGGGUUCUU